GCUGCACUGCAUUAUGAUCAUAUUGCUCAACCAAGACCACCACCUAAACCCAGUUCAAGUAAUUUUUUGAGAAACCUGCAGUAGUUGAAUCAAAGGUUUUAAGUUUUCUGUAAGCAGUGAAAACUGAAAGCGAGUAAUCUCGACUCAAACCUAUAGUCUAUAGCCUACUUACUACACUCGUCACUAGGCUUCCUAUAUUAUUGUUUGUGGACGGUUUACUACUCAGUGAUAAGCCUGCGCCGCAAAAAGAGGUCUCGCCUUUUAUUAUUAGUAUAAUGACUUCCUCAUGUGCGGCAGGAUUUCAACCGAUGGACAUUUUGGCCCUUGCUGCAGAAAAUAUGAAAAUUAAAGGAGAAUAUGCAAAAUUAAUUGUGGAAAAUGAAAAUCUUAAAUGCAGUCAAGUUCAUCAAGUAUGGCCACACAGAA